rnacentral:tRNA from 1 species
UGGGGAGUGGUCUAAUGGUAAGAUGCAGGCCUUUGGCGCCUCGCGAUCCGGGUUCAAAUCCUGGCUCCCCAG